rnacentral:lncRNA from 10 species
UAGCUGGUAAAACAUUAUUUCUGGGUGUGUCUGUGAGAGUGUUUCUGGAAGAGGUUACUAUUUGAGUCAGUAGACUGAGUAAAGAUGAUCACUCUACUGAAUGUGGGUUGGUAUCAUUCAGUCCACUGAGAACCUGAAUAAAAACCAAAGGCAGAGAAAGGGACUUUGGACUUGCACUGGAAUUACACCCCAGCUUUCCUGAUUCUACAGUUUGAAGAUGGUAGAUUGUGGGACUUCUCAGACUCCAUAAUGAGGAGGAAGACUAUGACAGCAGGAGAAAGAACAAAGAAUCUUCUAAGGGGCACAGAAAAGAGAGAGUUAUUAAGUCUUCCCCACCACCAGACUAGUAAAAAGAUUCCCUAGACUGGGAGAACAGAGAGAGCCAGAAGUUCUAUGCCUGAAGCUUUCCAAUGACAAAAUAAGAAUUCCCCAUGGCAGGUGAAUGGGUAAAUGAUGGAAGUGUCCUAUGCAUGAAUUAUUAUGUAGCCUUUAAAACGAAUGCAUUAAAUCUAUGCCAGUUCAUUUGGAGGGGGCUUCUGGUUUACAACACCAGCGAGAUGUAGACAAAGAUGCUACAAAAUUCCUUUUUGUAGAACAAAUGAUGCCCAGCCCCCAUUAUUAACAUAGACAUUUGCAUGUUUGCAUACAGUUGCAUGAGCAUGGGCAAAAAGUAUGAAAAGAUACACUUUGCUUCCUAACACUAUUUACCUGGGGAGAGAAAAUAAGUGGGAGGAAUAGAAACUUAAAAAGUAUGCACAAUAAAAAAGCAUUUGUGGCAAUUCCAUUUAUGUGAUAUUCAUAUGUAUACAUACGUGUGUGAAUGCGUAUGUGUGUAUGAAAAGAUUACCACCAACUCAAAUGGUACAGAUAUGUAUGAAGAAACUCAAGAUAAAUAAUAGUAACAUUUUGAUUAUUGAGUUUCCUUAUAGUUAUCUAAAUUGUUCAAAUUAUUUUCUCAAGCUUCAUGUAUUUUCCCACUUUUAAGCAGGCAAUAACAGAAACUAUCUUAAAGAUAACACAUUUAAAUUUACUGACACACAGUAGGCACCUAAUAAAUAGUUUAAAGAAAAUAAGUAUAAUUCUCAAAAUUCAAUAAAGAUCUUGUCAUUGUGGAGACAAAAAGAACCACGCUUGGAGAGAAGCCAGAGAUAGCUGAGAAGAUGCUCACUCUGUCUUCUCCUUGAAAGAAAAGCCAACACAGAUUUAAGAGGUCCAAAAAUGAUAGAGAGGAAGAGAGAGAGAGAGAAAGAUUUUCAACCUGCUGCUUUUCAACCAAAACAUUGCAGCAAGGGCUGCAAGCCACAUACGUGGAAUAUACUGAGAAUUUAGCAUCUGAUCAUGAGCAAACUCAGAGACAUGGAUGGUCCUUCCUGCUACUUCUUUGAGUUUGCAGGGCUUGGAGGCUGUAGCAGUGAGUGGUGCUGCUGUCCUAAUGUCCUGACUAUACCGGGAGCCACUCUUCGAUCAUUCUUCUGUCCAUUCAGAUGAGUAGAGAUGGGCUGCAUGAACGGUUUUAUCCCCAGGAUCAAGUGGAGCAUCUGGCAUGGAACAGCCAGCCACUCAAUGCGAGGGGCUUUGUGGAGAGCUGUCCAUCAUCCUUGCCUGCCCAAGGACAAUGACUUCUCAGCUUUCACCAUGCAUCCUGCAGCCAUGGAGGGAAGCAAAAUUAACUGGUCUCCAUCAGCCUCCCCAUCAAACAUUUGCUGAGCACCCAUCAUGUGCAAAAUAUUGACUAGGAACUGUGGGAGAUGGGAAGAAUUCUGGAAACUCCUAACUCUCAAGGAAUUUGCAGGGUUAUCAGACAGUUGCCACACAAAGACAUAAAAACAUCCCCUGCUAAAAUAAAGACCACGCCAGAUAUGUGCUGUAGGUAUUCACCCCUGCAGGAACUCUGGGGAAAAUGGGGCAGGAGGAGUCACCCUUGGAUGUCACAAAUGGCUCUCCAAAGGAAAUAGAACAACAUCGCAGCAUGAAUUCUGAAGCCGGCCCACCUGCCUGCCUUGAAUUACAGCUUCCACCAGCUGUCUGGCCUUGGACAAACUACUUAACUCUCCACAUCUGUCAAAUGGGGAUAAUAAUAUAACAAUCCCCCAAUAUUGUGAGGAUGAAAUAAGCUAAUACUUAGGAAAAGCUUGGAACAGUGCUUGGCACGUCUUAAGUGUGAUAUGUGUGAGCUCCUUCCUUGAUUCUCAUUCUGACUUGAAGAGGAUUUUUAGAGGGGAGACCCAGGGAACAGUGGGGCAGCCUAGACGGGUGGAAAGUGUUAUGCUGGAGGCUUAACCUAACCUGGUUCAAAACCUGGUUCUGCUAUUUCUACCAGUGUGACCUUGACUUAAACUCUCCAAAGCUCAGUUCCUCACUUAUAAAAUGGUAAUAACAAAACCAAUUUCAUUGAAAACGUAUGCUAACGAUGCCAUGAUAAAUAAUAGUUAUUAUUAAAGAGAAACACAGUAAAGAAGUUCCCAGAGGGAGGUGAAUAAAUUAAGCAUGAUGACGUGCCUUGCUACUUCCCCAUCUUUCUCUUCUUCCCCCAGAUUUGUUCAAGGUCUCAUCAUUACUGGUUUGCAUUUCUAUUUUAAUCAUGUUAUAGGUUUACAGUAUUUUUCCCCCUGCAUCUUUAUAUGCUAUAAUUUGGGUACUAUUUUUACACAACGAAGCCAUUUUUAACCGAGAACAGAUUCAAUUGUCUUUCAGCAUAUAUCAUUGUUUAUCUUAAUUAAUGCUAAAAUAUUCUUAGGGGGAAAAACACAUCCCACAGAGUAUUAUGCGAAGAAACUUAGCAUUCAUUUUUGCCUCCCUCUUUUCUGGCAUAUCAAUUUAUAAAGGUUUUAGCAUCCUGUUAUUUCAAUGACAAUAAUGCAUGCUCUUAAACGCAGACACCCAUCUGUGGGAAGCAAGUCACAGGGUGUCAACAGCAGCAAGGUGUGUGUUGCAGUGGAGGUGGAGGAUUGACAGCUGGAAGAAGAAGGGGAUUUUGCUGGUGAGAAUAAUGCCAAGUGAAGUCAUAGGCUUUGUCUCUGAUUGAUCCAUGGAAACAUUCCUUGAGUAGAGCUGAAUCUAGCUAGAUUCCAUGCUUGGAGUCUUUCUUAGUAAGGCUACUACUAUAAGCACAGAUGAUGGAAAAUGGAUGAUGUUUUUAUUCAUCAUCCAUUCUCUUUCCUUCAAAUAAGAUGCCCCAUGCACCUCUGAGGGAAUGACCCUUUACACACUCAACCUAAGUUUUUUGCCUCUCCCUCCAGCUCUAGGGUGGGCAUGUGAUAUAGAACUGACCAAUCAAUAUCUAUUAUCUUUCUGGCCACAGUGAUUGGGCAAGGGAUAGCCAUGUGACCCAAUCAGAGCCAAGAGACUCAGUUUUGAGGCUUUAGAUAGAACCACUGGGAAAGAGGGUUCUCUUUCUACUGGGAUGCUGACCUGGCAGGAAUAUUACCCAGAGCUGCCUGUGACCAUCUUUACUAUGAAAAGGGGAGAGCUUGCCAAAGAAUGAAGCUGUAUUAUAGUCUGUUCUCAUGCUGCUAAUAAAGACAUACCUGAGAUGGGGUAAUUUAUAAAGGAAAGAGGUUUAAUGGACUCAAAGUUCCACAUGUCUGGGGAGGCCUCACAAUCAUGGCAGAAGGCAAACGAGGAGCAAAGUCACGUCGUACAUGGUGGAAGGCAGGAGAGCGUGUGCAGGGAAACUCCCCUUCAUAAAACUAUCAGAUCUCGUGAGACUUACGAGAACAACACAGGAAAGACCCGCCCCCAUGAUUCAUUUACCUCCCACUGGGUCCCUCCCAUGACACAUGGGAAUUAAGGGAGCUACAAUUCGAGAUGAGAUUUAGGUGGGGACACAGCCAAACCAUAUCAGAAGCCAAUAUGAAAGAAAACAGAACUGAGAGAUGGAGGCAGACUCUUGAUGACAACUCCUGGACCCUGGAUCAAUUUUUGUUUAAAGCCAGUCUGCACUCUGCAUCUUUGAUGUAAACCAAUGUAUUUCCUUUAUUUGUUUGUUUAAACUAAAUUAAGUCAUUUGUAAUUUAAAGAGUUCAGAGAGGUGCCGUGUUUCAGUAGGGAACUGUAAAAAGCCAGGAUAUUCUGUAAAUUAGAAGGGAAUAAUGUGGUGUUGACCACAUCUGGGAGAAUGUGCAUCUGAGGGUGUCUUGCAUGCCAAACUCACUUGUCUUCCUAAUCAAGCAAUAGUUUGGUAACUGAGAAGUUCCAAGUAGCCUUUAAGUCACACAAUCAUACUAGAGGAACUCCUAAGAACCUGGGUGACAUUGUGAUAUAAAAUGUGGAACUUCACUAGGUUAUGCAAGAACCUCUGAAAAGGGUUGAUAGGAAGGGUGUACGUUAGGUGUGUAAAGAACUAGGUGUGGGGGAACUAACUAGUACAAAAGGGAUCUGGUGAAUUUGGAUUCUACCCUACUCGAGAUGAUGUUGGAGGGCUCUGAUCAAAGUAGGGGUUUGGGGGCAGAAUUAUGACAAGUAUCUAUAGGAAGUCACUAUCUUUUAUUAAAAAUUUGUUGUGAACCUGUCCUCACUCAUAGUUGGGAAUUGAACAAUGAGAACACAUGGACACAGGAAGGGGAACAUCACACUCUGGGGACUGUUGUGGGGAGGGGGGAGGGAUAGCAUUAGGAGAUAUACCUAAUGCUAAAUGACGAGUUAAUGGGUGCAGCACACCAGCAUGGCACAUGUAUACAUAUGUAACUAACCUGCACAUUUGUGCACAUGUACCCUAAAACUUAAAGUAUAACAAAAAAUUUGUUGUGAACCAGAUACUGUACUAAAUGACUUACCUACACUGUUGUAUUUAAUUCUCUCAACAACCUGAUGAGUUCUGUAUCUUAUUAUAUCCAUUUUACAUGUAAGGGAGCUGAGGCUUAGAAAGCUGGAGUGACUUGGUCUGCCAUGGCUAGGAUUUCAGCUCAUGUCUGUAUGACUCGAAAGCAUCUAGUGGGUGGUAACAUUGGUUUGUAGACUUGAAACAACUUUGGCUAAUGACUGGGGCACAUGGAAGAGGGGACAGAGUCCAGCUUCCAAAGUUAGAAGGCUACCAAAACUAAGGUUUUGGUCAGAGAUUCAACAUUCCAGGGGCAGACCCUGAUCCCAAUGGGAGAGUAGAUUUGAUAGGGAAACUGAGGCAGGAUCCUGGGACUGGAGCCAACACAGGGAGCAUUAGUUGGGAGGGUUGUUGUGACCAGUCAACAUACUUCUGGGGGCUUGUGGCAAAGAACAAACACAGAACUCCAAAUGAAUUCCCUGCCAGAGCUUGUUCAGAGUUGGCUUGGGAUAGGAGAAUCUGAGGGGAGUAUGAGGCUGACAGAGAAAAAAGAGAGUCUUGUGGAAUCCUAAGAUUUAAAAAGAGAGGAAGAAAAGAUGCCUUUUAUUUAUUAAACAGUGAUUACGAAAUACCUAACACAUGGCCACGAUUAGACUAGGCUCUUCCCAUACAUGAAGCUCAGAGAGGUCAAGUGAGUUGUUCAGGGUAACACAGGAGCUGUGCCUGGGUAUGAAGCUGUAUCUGCUCAAACAUAAAGGUCUUUUCAUGGUGCCAGAGUCUACAUUUCCCAGAGUACUAAGAUAGUGACUUGAUCAUCAGCACUAAAUAUGUGUCGUAAAGAUAGCUCACAUUUACAGAUAUUAUAGCUACUCUGUGCCCUGCAAGGUGCUAACGACUUUACUUGGAUUAUCUCAACUUAUCCCCCAGACAACCUAUGACGUUUAGCCAGGCAUCAUCAUCAUCAUCAUCAUCAUCAUAUCAUCGUUAUCCUCAUCCUCAUCCUCAUCAUUGUUCUUGAAUGAUGAAAAUUGGAGCUCAGAAACUCAACCUGUGUCAAGAUUACAAAGCUAGCAAUUCUGGGUCAGAACCUGAACCCAGGCAGCCCGCACUUUCGAUGUGCCCAAGCUUAUAUCUCCACCUACAACUCUGCCUCAGUUUCUCCCUCUGUAAAAUGAAGACAGUAAUAAGGCACCUCACAAGGUUAUUGUGAGAACAAAAUGAACCGCUGCAUACUAGGAGCUUAACAGACUGGCAAAGAAAACUCCAUCAAUGUUGGCUUUCAUCGGGGCUAUUUUAAUUUUUGCAUCACCCUCUUCAAAAGGGCACUUCUCGCUUUCCCACGGCUAAGCUGCCACACUCAAGUGUGCUGGAAAAAAAGGCUGGGUAGCUCACAACGUGCGGGGGCAUCUUAGUGUAAUCCUGGGGUGAGAGAUAAAAGAAGCUCGCUUGACAUAACUUCAUAAACCCAUUUUAAUCUAAACAUUGAUUUUCCUUUGGAACAAUCCCUUUCCCCUUGCUCACAGUCCCACCACGCCUCUAAUACAGACGUGGGUAUUGAUAACAUUAUUGAGAUAAAACAGUCGCCUCUUUCUUAUUCCCUUUAUUCAUCAGUCACCCCAGGCCUGUCUUUGUCUUUUUUCAUCCUCUGCUACCCAGCAUUAUUCAUUGGAGUGCCUUCUUUUCCCUCACCCUCCAUAACUCAAGGUGAAAGUUUUCAGUAAUGACAAGUAGUAAAAUAUGAGAGAUUUAAGCAAAUUCAACUGGAAAUAAUGUGAAAAAAUAUUAUUCGCUCCGGACACAUGCUUCUCUUUUGAUCUUCCUUGUCCAAGAUACAUUUUAAAAAAAAUACUCCUUUGAUAACAAGAAGUGAGCAGGGGCUAAAAGGAAACCUUAUGUCUUUGUUGGGAAAUAAUUAGUCUGAUCGAAUCGCUUGCUUUCUGAUGGACAAAGGAGUCUUUAAAGAAAAUCAUUUGUGUUCUCUGGGCCCCUUCAGGCAGCACAGCUUUCCGAGGCUUGGGCUUUUAGAUGAGAGUUUGGGGAAUGGAAAAUUUCCCUGAAUAAGAAAUCAGAGAGCUUGACCUACACAGUUACCUCUCUCUUAACAUGACAACAAUUGGCAAUUACUUUUUGAUCCAAAGUGUGAGGAUGAAUAUGGAAAGGAAGGGCGAAUCAUUCUCCUUCUUCUCAAGCUCAUUCUCUCUUUAGACCUGCACCUGAAGCUGAUUUUCUUUUCUUUUUUUUUUUUUUCCAGUCCCAGCAAUUCAAUAUAAUCUAUAGCUGGAAAUACCUAUGUUAGCUGCAGCUGGGGGAAAAAGCAGUUGGCAAAUUCAUGAAUCAGGGCUUCUUUUCUUUUUCGCUUGUGAAAGGUAACUUCCGACAGCUUAAGGGUGAUUUGGAAUGAAGCGUGGGUUGGUUCCUAGUGUCAGCACAUUGCCUAGUUGUUCCAGCCAGGCUGGCUGUAAUGAAGCGUGGACAUCCAUACAUAGUUUCAGUGUCAGGGACACCGGUGACUCUAAUGAAGAGAGGACCUUAACUUUGAUGCAGAAUCAUGAUUGUUUAUAGCUGUGUGGUGAAGAAUGGGCUCUGAAAUCCAUCGCACUUCGGUGAAAAUGCUGUUUGGUCUGCAAUGUGAAGCUGAUAGCUUAAUUUCUCUGAUACUCAGUGUCUUUACCUGUAAAAUGGUGCCAAUAUCAAAGUAGCUGUCUGGUAUAGCAGGGUUUCUUAAUCUUGGCAUUAUCAACAUUUGGGGCCAGGACAUUCUUCAUGGUGAGGGGCUGCCCUGGGCAUUGUAGGGUGUUUAGCAGCAUCGUUAGCUUCUACCCACUAGAUGCCAGUAGCACUCUCCCCCCACCCCAUUAUGACAACAAAAAUCGUCUCCAGACACUGCCAGUGUCCCCUGGGAGGCGCAAUCCCUCCUCCCUCCCCUCACCGAAAGCCGCUGCCAUGGAGCUAUUGUGAGAAUGAAAUGAAAUAAUCCAUACAAUGCUCUCAGCACUGUUUAGUAGACAGUACAUAGUAAAUGCUCAAUACGAAUUAGUUGUUACUCAGACACCAAGAGGGUAACAACAGGCGCACAGACACUGGGGCCUAUUUGAGGGUGGAGGAUGAGAGGAGGGAGAGGAGCAGAAAAAAUAACUAUUGGGUACUAGGCUUAGUACCUGGGUGAUGAAAUCACAAACCCUAGUGGCACAAGUUUACCUAUAGAACCAACCUGCACAUGUACAUCUGAAUCUAAAAUAAAAGUUUGAAAAAUGAAUAAAUAACUAUUACUUGUUACUGUAUUAAUAAAACUGUCAAU